UGCUUUGCUCAGGUAUUUUGUCACAGCAAUGGAAAACUGACUAAUGCAGACACAUGUAGUAAAUUACAGAGGCCCACAGAGUCCAAGCCUCUGCUCUUACACUCUAUGGCCUCCCACCUCCUUACCCUCCCACAGCACUCCUAGUGGGGCUAAGGCCAAAAUGAGGAAAAGUGGUGGGUAUGAAUUGUGGGGAGGGUGUUGGUAGCUACCCUUGUAGUCCAACCUUGGUUUUCUAAGAUGUUUGUUCCUUUCUUUUGCUCAGUGGAGCCCACUUCCUGCUCCUGCUCACUUAUGCUCCCCAUCCUUUCCUCAUGGCCCCAGCUUCAAGGAAAGAGGCUUGAACUGGAAAUUUGCACUCCAGGCUGGAAUUCUAGGCCCUCCAGGUUUGGGGGAAUGGGGCUGAGCUAA
rnacentral:lncRNA from 1 species